AGGAAAUUGUGUAACUCUGGAAUUUUAGAGGUGACUGCGUGACAAUUCUGAGAGGCCAAUGCCAAUGAGAGAAAAGUUUACUGCUACUCAUGAUGGCGCCCCUGGAAGCAGAAGACACAGCACGCUAUAGAGGGCCAUGUGGGAAAGCACUGGAGUAGCUCCAGGCCGGGCUUGCCAGUCUCUCUGCACUCUGGAAGGAGUUUGCCUGGGUUGGGGUUGUCCCUUGGUAGAUUCCAAACCUUCAUUUUGUCAAUUUACUUAAAGGUGACUGGGUUUAAAGGGGCUGACUGAUUGUAAAUAACUUGGAGAAUAAAUCAAUAUUCAUUAAUAAAGUUAAAUAAUUCACGUAAAAUUAAAGUAUAA
rnacentral:lncRNA from 1 species